GUGCAAUGGCAAAAUCUCGGCUCACUGCAACCUCUGCCUCCCAGGUUCAAGCGAUUCUCCUGCCUCAGCCUCCCUACUAGGGGUGCUCACUACCACACCCACCUAAUUUCUGUAUUUUUACUAGAGAUGGAGUUUCACCAUGUUGGCCAGGCUGGUCUCGAACUCCUGACCUCAGAUGAUCCACCCACCUCAGCCUCCCAAACGGUUGGGAUUACAGGCGUGAACCAACACGGCCGGCCAGCAUGUGUGAUUUGACUUUCCUUUGCAAUAGUAAGAAUGGGCUUCACUGAUCCAUCCUCUUGUCCAUUUAUUCACCCAAGGUCAAGAGACUGAGACCCAUUCAUUAAUCCUUGUGCAGGAUUCCCGCAGCUCAUCUGUGGCAAAGUGAAGCCCAGAACUCUUGAAGCUGGAUUCCUAUUUCUUUCAAGAUGCUCUCCACCUGCCUCCAAUAUCUUUGAUCUCACCCUUAUUCUGCUGAUUUCACUUAAUCAAAACUGACCUUAGAAGAGCUUCCCAACUCAUAUUUCCCUAAAGUAAACCCCAGGUGAGCCAGUUCCUGCCAUCUUCAGCUCCUCCCCAAUCCACGCCCAAGUUCAGACGUUUCAUCUUCUCCACACCAGUUCCUCAGGUAUCUGGACACAAGAUAGAGGCAGAAACGUGAGUGUGCCGAUCACAUUAUCUUCAACAUCCCUUGUUUCCUCAAGCUCCAAUUGAGUAAAUUAUAUCUGCAAUUUAACUCCUAAUCAAGAGGCCCUUGAGUCUGACUUCAGAGACUUAUUUUAUGGCUCUUCAUAUGUCAGGUAUGAAAAUGAAGGAUGUCUUACUUGCUUCACUGGGAUGCUCUCACGCAGUAAAUCACAGGGGCAUGGCAGUGAAAGGAGACUGUGUUUUAGGAAAUGAAAGGCAAAGGGAAGGAGCUGGCUUAUUGAAGGCAGGGAGAGAAGAGGGAACAGAAGGCAAAGGCCAGAAGCUCAGGUGUUUGCAAAUCGUGCUGCUGGAAUCCAGGCUGACACCAGGGAAAGAGGCAUUUCACGCUUGAUGUUUACUCACUGACAGUCCUGGGGCAAAUGAGCGCAGCUUUUACAGGCCAGGAACUCUCCAAUUAGAGAAGACAAGCCUCAACUCCACAAACCAGAGGCAAGAAUCUAGCUGACUCCUGCCCAUUUCAGUCUGGUAAGCCCAUUUAUUAUGGUAUCAUUCAUUCAUUUAAGAUUACCUUCAUGUAGGAGUUUUUUUAAUCUUAAUUUUUUUGAGACAGGGUGUUACUCUGUUGCCCAGGCUGGAGUGCAGUGGUGCCAUGAUGGCUCACUGUAACCUCCACCUCCUGGAAUCAACUAAUCCUCCCACUUCAGCCUCUCGAGUAGCUAGGGCCACAGGCACACACCUCCAUUCCUGGCUAAUUUUUUUUUUUGGUAGAGAUGGGAGUCUUGUUAUGUUGCCCAAGCUGGUCUUGAACUCCUAGACUAAAGCCGUCUUCCCACCUCAGCUUCCCAACAUGCUGAGAUGACUGGCAUGAGACACUGCACACGGCCAUUGUAGGUAAUUUUAGAUGAACUUAUCCCUUCCUACACUGGGGUUGGGUUAUCGGUAGCUAAGAUGCUUCUUUAUCAAUCCGUGGCAUGGACCACGGAAUCAUAAAAAGGGCACGAAGAAAAUAUAGGUAAAAAUGUAGAUUCAAGGUAUCCCCCAAGGUAGCUUAGUCCACCUCCUAACUCUUCAUCAUUAAUUGCUUCUACCUUUUUUCCCCCGUUUAUUACUAGAAUUAAGUAACUCACUUUCUGAUCAUUGUC
rnacentral:lncRNA from 1 species